GGAAGUAAAAGUCGUAACAAGGUUUUCGUAGGUGAACCUGCAAAAGGAUCAUUG
rnacentral:rRNA from 1 species